GCGCGGCUAGCUCAGUGGCAGAGCAGCUCUCUUACAAGGAGUCGGUCCGAGGUUCGAGUCCUCGGUCGCGCACCC
rnacentral:tRNA from 1 species